GCAUACUUAACAAAGGAAAAAGAAAAGUAUCCUCUCCUCCUCUGACUUGGUCUCCCUUACUCUGUCUCAAUGGGGAACAGGACCUUCUCCUGGCAGCUGCCUAUGUUUUGGAUGCCCAGUACAACAGAAAUGUUCCAUUUGAAACUCACCUCAGGCCAUCAGACGUUACUAUUUUUAUAACCACUAGACAACGCAGGUUGCCGCAUACUUCUUUAUUUGUGUAGACCUCGCUCUUGCCCUGUUUGAAGAGCCUGAGUUGCUUCCCCUGCCUUUCUUGGUAAGCAAGCCAUAGCAGAUGGCUAGCCAGAUUUGGUCAUAGAUGAUUGGGCCUUGUGCCUCUUCUUUUUUUCCCCUCAAAUUUCAACAAAUAUGAAUUAGAUGUUAUUUAUUUUUUUUGCUGGGGGAUUAGAGAAGUUCUGUCUACUCACCAAACACAUGCUUCCUUCAUAACGCAUUUUAAGUGCAGUGGGAGAUUUUGGUCUUCUGUGCACACACACACAAAAUCAGAGAUGGUUCAAUGAUGUUUUCAAAGCCAAUUUACUUACUGCCAAGUAGAUGAUGUUCUCAUAUAGUGUAAUAUGCAACUUGUACAUGCCACA
ensembl:lncRNA novel transcript